UCCUCGGUAGCUCAAUGGUAGAGCACCCGGCUGUUAACCGGGUUGUUGCUGGUUCGAGCCCAGCCCGGGGAGCCA
rnacentral:tRNA from 1 species